rnacentral:lncRNA from 1 species
AUUUCCUUGUCCCUGAACUGACCACUCCAGAUGAAAGAUCUUCAAGUGAGUGUAGGGAACGACUUGGAAAAGGGUGAAGUUAUACCUGCUGGAACCGGACCACUCUGACUUUUGCGGCAAAAGAGAGGGAAACACCUCAGUGACAUGUUUUAGACCCAGGGAAGUCUGAGGGAGGGAGGAAUGUUAAUGAUCUCUUUAAGAUUCACCCCAAAGCCUUGCUCAAAGAAGGAAAGCACUCUGGAGCAAUUCUCCCAAACCCUGAAGGCACAUUAAAUUUAACUGACUGCUGGGUUUUCCACCCCCUGACAGAGUUCGCUGACCAUGAUUUGAUCACCAUUCAUCUUAAUCUUACUGAGAUGCCUAUCAGAAGCAGCAGCGGAUGGCUCCCAGCCUCUGUACUUACCACACAAAACAUAUGUCAACGCCUCCAGCUGUUCUCCCAACACCGAUUCCCAUAGCCAUAACGGAGUCAGUCUGUGAGGGGGAUGAAAUCCACUUCGCCAGAGACACGGACAAACAGGUCAGUUUGGACCGCCUGAGGGCUCCCGGAAGGCCGUAGAGUACAGCAGUUUUGCGCCGGGCAUGCGCGGUGCCCUGCCCCGUUUUGGCUUCAGGCAGUCCCUCCAGCGCACAGUUUUGGGCCAGAGCCAGUCGGCAGCUCCACAUCCCGCCGCAGGGCCUCUGGAGCACAGCGCGCUGAAGCGUUAUGACUCUGACUGUGGAAGGUCCAGGAGUCCACGAGCACUGGAGAUCGCGUGAUAGAGACUGUGAGCCAACCUCCUUACUGACCAGUCUGGGAGGGGCACGGGGCGCUCAGGUGUUUCUCCUGCCAGGACUCGGCUGCCCCCGUAAAUGGCCUGAAGUCCCAGGAGAUGGGGCUUCCUGUGGGAAGUGAGGUUGUGGCUGCAAUGCUUGGGGCCUGAUUCCUCCAUUCUCUGAACCACCCCUGAUCCUCAGUGGAUCCCAGCCCAUCUUCUCCCUACUCUUCUAUGGGGACUGCACUUAAUCCAAAAUCAAGGGAUUGAUUCAUGUAUUUGAAAUGAACUAUUACCCUAGAAGUCAUGUUGGAGGCCCCAUCAACCUGUACCCUCAACUGAUAUGCGUCACACUUGAGAGGCCCUAACACUUGAAGAACUGACUUUCUUUUCAGAGUGACCACAUGCACGAUCAGGACUGUGCUUUUUGCGUGGGAGACCAGAUGCAAACCGUGCAUAGCCUUGGAAAUAUCUCCCUUCAGAUGAAAAGAUAAGCAUGCUUACUCUCUAGUAUGAUGAAGAUGAUGUCCUCCUUCGGAGAAGAGGAUGUCUGUGUCCUUUCUGGCGGGCAUCUAAGGGCUCCAGCAAUACUGAAUCGACUGCAAAUCGCACAUUGAAAACGUUUCCACCUCAGCCUCAGUUUCUGCAAAGCUGCUGCAUUUCCAGUUCACCUUCACUUCCAGCUCUCUUGGAAUAGGCUCCUGUUUGUAUCUGGUUUUGUUGAGGCCACGCGGAUGAGUUAGAUAAAAGCCUCUGCCAAACAGCUAACCAUAGACCAAGAGCCAGAGGCCAUAUUAAGAUAUGAGAAGUCCACAUCUGGAACAGCAGCUAUAGUUGGAGCCACUGCCUUAUUCAGUUUUGAAAAUCUUUAUUCUUGAAUGUUUCAAGUAGUUAUGCAGGAAUAUACAUGAUAGAUAGUAAGAGAUUCAAUGUCUCCUAUUUAUCCACCACAACCAAAAUUACUCUAAUUUUAUGCUAGAAUUUUUCUAGGAGCUGAGGAUAUCUUUUUCUGCUGUGUCUUCAAAAAUGGAGGAAAUGACAAUGUCUAGAUAAAGGAUCUUACUAUGAAAUCAAACUACAUCUGUCAUCUGAUCCCUAUCAUACAUCACUGCUUUAAGGAUGACAGUGGAUCCAGAUUUCCAAAAGAUUCAAGGAAUCUCAGAACUAAUAUUCAAUAUUCCCUAAAAAGAUUUAGUUAUUUUGCUUUGCUCAAAAGUGCGGUUACCUGAGUUAAUGACCACAGGACACUUUCAACAAGUCUGAGAACAUAUUUCAAAUAUGCUCUGUGAUUUCAUAGCAGAGAUCUUUUUCAAAGCUGCUUGUAUUUAAGGGGCUUGGUCUGUGAAGUGAGCCUGAAGAUUGUAGUUGGAAUUAGUUCAUACAGUGUCUCAAAUCAGAGCUAUCUCCACAAGAAUAUAAUUUUUUUCUUUUGUCUUUUAUUGGGGGUGGG